GCCGCUCUCCGGGUGAUCGCGGCCUUGCUUGCAAGGUCGAGGAAAGUCCGGACACCGCAGGGCAACGUGCCUCUUGAAAAAGGGGGACGGCAGCGUCAAGGCUGCCGGACAGACAGUGCAGCAGAGAGUAUACCGCCGAUGGCCCGCAAGGGAUCAGGUAAGGGUGAAAGGGUGGGGUAAGAGCCCACCGCGUGACGGGUAACCGCCACGGCACGGCAAACCUCGCGUGGUGCAAGACAGAACAGGGGAAGGGUGCCCGCCCGUCGAAUCCCCGGGUAUUAGUCGCAGUCCGUGCAAGCGGACUCCCGCGCAAGCGGGGAGAGAAAUGAUCGCCCAUCCCUGCAAAGGCAGGGGGGACAGAAUCUGGCUUACAGGAGAGCGGCCGCC
rnacentral:RNase_P_RNA from 1 species